rnacentral:rRNA from 1 species
AACGGCCAUACCAUACUGAAUAUACCGGUUCUCGUUAGAUCACCGAAGUCAAGCAUCAUUGGGCGCGGUCGGUCUUGGGUGAGUGACCACCUGGGAACACCGCGUGCCGUU